rnacentral:rRNA from 1 species
AAUUUUGGACAAUGGGGGAAACCCUGAUCCAGCCAUCCAGCGUGUAUUAUGAGGGACUUCGGGUUGUAAAGUAUUUUUGGCAGAGAAGAAAGGGUAUCUCCUAAUACGAGAUACUGCUGACGGUAUCUGCAGAAUAAGCACCCGCUAACUACGUGCCCGCAGCCGCGGUAAUACGUAGGGUGCAAGCGUUAAUUGGAAUUACUGGGCGUAAAGCGUGUGUAGGCGGUUCGGAAAGAAAGAUGUGAAAUCCCAGGGCACAACCUUGGAACUGCAUUUUUAACUGCCGAGCUAGAGUAUGUCAGAGGGGGGUAGAAUUCCACGUGUAGCAGUGAAAUGCGUAGAUAUGUGGAGGAAUACCGAUGGCGAAGGCAGCCCCCUGGGAUAAUACUGACGCUCAGACACGAAAGCGUGGGGAGCAAACAGG